CCUCUCUAUUGUAGCCCUUCUUGUUUGAAGGGGAUCUUAGUCUUGCAAACAGCAUGGUAACCUCAUAAGUGCUGGAGCCAUGUAAAAAGUACUU